rnacentral:misc_RNA from 1 species
AAGUCGUAACAAGGUUUCCGUAGGUGAACCUGCGGAAGGAUCAUUAUCAUUAGGCCGUCUGCUUCAGUGCGGCCGCAACAACGAAUGCUUGACACGGUAAGUCCUGGGGUGUUGCCAUCGCGGUUAGGUCCGACUCAGGUCACUCCAUGUGCGCGUGUCAUUGCGCCUUCUUUGUUAUCCUUUCUGUGUAUAUUACUUCUGUUGCUUCCCGCAGAGCAUUUGGUCCAUGGGGCUGAACCUGCGGGGAGGGAAUCAUAAACUCUGGUCUUGUAUUGGUGGUCUGAGUGGUUUGUCACAUAAAAACAAGUUAAAACUUUCAACAACGGAUCUCUUGGUUCUC